rnacentral:rRNA from 1 species
UACCGCAUGACAUUAUUGAGCUGCAUGGCUUGAUAAUCAAAGGAGCAAUCCGCUGAAAGAUGGGCUCGCGUCCGAUUAGGUAGUUGGUGAGGUAACGGCCCACCAAGCCGACGAUCGGUAGCCGGACUGAGAGGUUGGACGGCCACAUUGGGACUGAGACACGGCCCAGACUCCUACGGGAGGCAGCAGUAAGGGAUAUUGGUCAAUGGGGGAAACCCUGAACCAGCAACGCCGCGUGAGGGAAGACGGUUUUCGGAUUGUAAACCUCUGUCCUCUGUGAAGAUGAUGACGGUAGCAGAGGAGGAAGCUCCGGCUAACUACGUGCCAGCAGCCGCGGUAAUACGUAGGGAGCGAGCGUUGUCCGGAUUUACUGGGUGUAAAGGGUGCGUAGGCGGCUGUGCAAGUCAGUAGUGAAAUCCAUGGGCUUAACCCAUGAACUGCUAUUGAAACUGCACAGCUUGAGUGAAGUAGAGGUAGGCGGAAUUCCCGGUGUAGCGGUGAAAUGCGUAGAGAUCGGGAGGAACACCAGUGGCGAAGGCGGCCUACUGGGCUUUAACUGACGCUGAGGCACGAAAGCGUGGGUAGCAAACGGGAUUAGAUACCCUGGUAGUCCACGCCGUAAAC